rnacentral:lncRNA from 1 species
CAGAAGUCAGGUCGGAUUAAGCCAUAGUACGGAAAAAACUAUGCUACCUGUGAGCCCCGUCCAAGGACGUUAAAAGAAGUCAGGCCACCACAAGUGCCAUAGCUUGAGUAAACUAUGCAGCCUGUAGCUCCACCUGAGAAGGUGUAAAAAAUCUGGGAGGCCACAAACCAUGGAAGCUGUACGCAUGGCGUAGUGGACUAGCGGUUAGAGGAGACCCCUCCCUUACAAAUCGCAGCAACAAUGGGGGCCCAAGGUGAGAUGAAGCUGUAGUCUCACUGAAAGGACUAGAGGUUAG